AGGGCCUCGGCACUCUCUGGAAAGCAGGCUGA
rnacentral:piRNA from 1 species